GACGAACCGUGCGAACGUUGUUCGGAUUCACUGGGCUUAAAGGGCGCGUAGGCGGAUUCGCAAGUCCGGGGUGAAAUCUUUCGGCUCAACCGGAAAAGUGCCUUGGAUACUGCGAGUCUCGAGUGAGACAGGGGCCGCGGGAACUUCCGGUGGAGCGGUGAAAUGCGUUGAUAUCGGAAGGAACGCCGGUGGCGAAAGCGCGCGGCUGGAUCUCUUCUGACGCUGAGGCGCGAAAGCUGAGGGGAGCAAACGGGG
rnacentral:rRNA from 1 species